rnacentral:rRNA from 1 species
AUACGUAGGGGGCGAGCGUUGUCCGGAAUGAUUGGGCGUAAAGGGCGCGUAGGCGGCCCGGUAAGUCUGGAGUGAAAGUCCUGUUUUUAAGAUGGGAAUUGCUUUGGAUACUGUCGGGCUUGAGUGCAGGAGAGGUAAGUGGAAUUCCCAGUGUAGCGGUGAAAUGCGUAGAGAUUGGGAGGAACACCAGUGGCGAAGGCGACUUACUGGACUGUAACUGACGCUGAGGCGCGAAAGUGUGGUGAGCAAACAGGAUUAGAUACCCUGGUAGUCCACACUGUAAACGAUGAAUGCUAGGUGUAGGGGGUAUCGACCCCUUCUGUGCCGCAGUCAACACAAUAAGCAUUCCGCCUGGGGAGUACGGCCGCAAGGUUGAAACUCAAAUGAAUUGACGGGG